CUCAUACUCCACAUUCUCAUCAUCACUGUCCACUUCUGGGGCCACGUAUACCACCUCGAACUCAAUUUGUCCUCGCUGCCACAAACAUCCACAGUUGAUGCUGUUGACAGCAAGGAUGGCGUCUCCAACAUGCAGACCUCCACAUCUGUCUGCAGGCUGGUUAGGAUGGAUCUCUGAAAUCAGAAUGGGAACGCCAUGCUCCUUCCCACCCUGAAGAACAGACACAUGACAUCAGGUCCUCACCAAACAAUAAGCCACAGUCGUCGGUUGGAAUCCCAGCCUGGUGAAAACCAGCUCCUUGUUCUACACGUUGCUUCAUACUGAUGGACCUUCAGAUGUUGAGAAGCGAUUGCUUACUGGAGGCGUGGACUGUGUUGAAGGUUUUUU